CUCUCUCUCUCUCUCUCUCUCUCUCUGUCUCUCUCUGUCUCUCUCUCACUCUCUCUCUCUCUCUCUCUCUCUCUCUCUCUCUCCCUCCCUCCGUCUUCCAUGGCAAAUGGGCGAGUGAGGGGGAUAACCUCUGCACCCCCCCCCGUGAGGCAGCGAUGAAAACACAAACAGAAUAUUGGUUUCCUUAAACAACGCUGUUGUUUAUUGCAUGUGUCUAUAAAGAAUCAAUACAGUCGAAAGCAAUGGAGUCCAUUUUGUUUUAAAUGAUCAGCUCUUAGUAGAAGCACGAUAAGCCGGCGGACGUUUGGACAACGGAAGACACAGCGAGAACCGCCCGUUCAGCCAUUGGCCGCCACCUCAGGGCGCCGGUCAGCCAUUGGCCGACACUUCAGGACGCCCAGGUCAGCCAUUGGUCGAGACCUCAGGGCGAGCAAUAAAAACUUGGUUGAAAAGUUAUCCAAAGCUCGGCUCAGAACGCUCCGAGCCUCCUUAGCAAACACACACAGGGUCGACUCUCCGAGUCAAAUUGGCAGAAAGAAAUAUACAAAAAGCAAUAAAUUGGGUUUUAAGGUAUAACAAACAUUAUUAACAUAUAGAAUAUAUAUACAUUUUGGUACCUUUUUGUAAACUAACUUUCCAAAAGAUUUCAUAUUGCAUAGAUGCCAUUUGUGUUGUAACCAAGUAGCAAAAAUGAACUAUUAGUAUUAAUUAAAGAUUUAUAUUAAAAUUCUCAGAAUUACAGCAUUAGAAAAUGUCUUGUCUUGUAGUGGCAUCGAUCUCACAAGAAGCUUCAAUCAAGGCCAAAGCAUGUUCAAAAUAUAACUUAAUUUAGUGCUUUCGUUGUAUAAGGAAUUCACUCAAAACACAAAGUAUGUACAGUACAAACAACAUAAGUUAUUUUAACUUAAAUCUCUCAUCAGCGCUCCCCAUUUAGUUGAAAUACCUCUUUAUUUAUUACACUAUGUACACUACUAUUAACCUGGACAUCGUUACUCAAACCAGGGGAGUCCUGUGCUAUGGAACGCUGCUGUGUCUCCGGGUGUUGGGCCAGUCGCUAGAUGUGUGGUCGAUGUUUUUGUUGGUGGGGGUGUAUGGGCAGGAGGGGGGUAUGUAGACCCCCCCCGAAGGCUCGUAACACAGCAUGUACUACAUUCAAAGUGUCUUGUGUUACAAUCGGGGAGUUGUGUGUGCGAGCCCAUGAGUUAGCUCCUGUAGCCGCCGCCGCUACACUGUGGAAGGCUCAAACCACCAGGCAUCGUUCGGUGUGUGUCUGUGUGCGUCCCACCAGUGGUGUGUGUAGGCAUCGUUCGGUGUGUGUCUGUGUGCGUCCCAUCAGUGGUGUGUGUAGGCAUCGUUCGGUGUGUGUCUGUGUGCGUCCCACCAGUGGUGUGUGUAGGCAUCGUUCGGUGUGUCUGUGUGCGCUCCACCUGUGGUGUGUCUGUCUUUGUGCGCUCCACCUGUGGUGUGUGUCUGUGUGCGCUCCACCUGUGGUGUGUGUGUCUGUGUGCGCUCCACCUGUGGUGUGUGUCUGUGUGCGCUCCACCUGUGGUGUGUGUGUCUGUGUGCGCUCCACCUGUGGUGUGUGUGUCUUUGUGCGCUCCACCUGUGGUGUGUGUGUCUGUCUGUGUGCGCUCCACCUGUGGUGUGUGUGUCUGUGUGCGCUCCACCUGUGGUGUGUCUGUCUGUCUGCGCUCAACCUGUGGUGUGUGUGUCUGUGUGCGUUCCACCAGUGGCCUGUGUCUGUGUGCGUCCCACCAGUAUUGUGUGUCUGUCUGUGUGCGCUCCACCUGUGUGGCGUGUGUCUGUGUGCGUCCCACCAGUAGUGUGAGUCUGUCUGUGUGCGCUCCACCUGUGUCUGUGUGCGCUCCACCUGUGGUGUGUGUGUCUGUGUGUGUUGACCUGUCUUUCUUCUGAGUCCAGAGCGGGAGCCAUCAGGCCAGCAGGGCUGAGGCUCCCGCUUCCUGUGGGACCUCGUCUACUUUGGACUCUGCGGGUUAGGGGGGCUCUAAAGUGUUGUCUGGCCUGGGUCCUGGGCCGGGUCCUGGGCCGGGUCCUGGGCCGGGUCCUGGGCCGGGUCCUGGGUCGGAUCGCUCGGCAGAAUGGGCGUGUGCGUGACACACAGAGGUACGGACGCCGUUCGUUACCGGGUGAGCGGGAGUGAGAGGAGAUGGUUAAAGGGGGGGAAUAAACGACCAGAGGACCAGGUACCAGGUGGGUCUAGGUCCUGGUCUAGUACCUGGUGGGUCUAGGUCCUGGUCUAGGUCCUGGUGGGUCUAGGUCCAGGUCUAGUACCUGGUGGGUCUAGGUCCUGGUCUAGUACCUGGUGGGUCUAGGUCCAGGUCUAGUACCUGGUGGGUCUAGGUCCUGGUCUAGGUCCUGGUCUAGUAACUGGUGGGUCUAGGUCCUGGUUUAGGUCCUGGUCUAGUACCUGGUGGGUCUAGGUCCUGGUCUAGUACCUGCUGGGUCUAGGUCCUGGUCUAGUACCUGGUGGGUCUAGGUCCUGGUCUAGGUCCUGGUCUAGUACCUGGUGGGUCUAGGUCCUGGUCUAGUACCUGGUGGGUCUAAGUCCUGGUCUAGUACCUGGUGGGUCUAGGUCCUGGUCUAGGUUCUGGUCCCUCUAGAACCUGCUGGGUUUGCCAUGCAGCCUUCGAAGGGUGCAGACAACCUCUACAUCUCCCCUAGACUCUGGAGACAUUCUGGGUCUCCACGGCGAUGCCCGUCUUUGAUAUCCUGUGUGUUGAUAGGUCCGCCACCAGAAGCCCCUUCAGACAGCAAGGCUUUGGAGGCUGGGUUUAGAAAAACAUUCACCUUCGAAAAUAAAUAGAUAAUUUCCUGUGUGUCUCCGGCGGCCUGAGGUAGGGUCUGUACAACGGAUCCUUAAAUAUACUCUGGAAAUGCCACAUCAGUCCUCUAAGUACAAUCUCCGUACAUAGUCACACAAACUCUUACCUAGCGCACAAAUACAUGAUAAAUAAAUAAAUAGAUAUAUGUAAUCUGUUUGCGUGAAACGGCUCCAAUGUGGUUUGCACAAGUCGUUCGGGGGCGCUGUGUGUGUGUUUGUGUGCGUGUGUUUGUGUGUGUGUGCCCGGGAGUGAGUGUGUGCGAGCGUCGGCCUGUGUGGGCGUGUUUUGUGUGUGUGUGUGUAGCAUGUUCCCAGGUUUGGUUCACAGGGGUUAAAGGUCAAAAGUAUCUGGUUCAUGGGCUCACGCCAACCAGCAGAAAGUGUUUCUAAUAACAUAAUCAUAUUAAUAAUAAUAAUAUAUUGAAGAAUAAAUCUCUCUGUCUACAUCCACUGAUAAAUAGUCCUCUGAGUGACAGGUCACCAGGAGUCUUUAACCUCUUCUGAUAGGACAGCAGCAUGUCUUGGGGCCCGGGGGCGGGGCCUAGGGACCCACGUUGCCAUGGUGACCGCGGCCCUUUUGAGCCCUGAAGACGGGCUCAA
ensembl:lncRNA